CGCUACCUCGCCUAGGCCGCUGUGCCUGCCCGGGCCGCCAUGGCUGGGGGCCGCGGGGCCGCAGGACGCGGCCCGGCUGAGCCGCAGGAGAGCUAUUCACAGAGACAGGACCACGAGCUGCAGGCCCUGGAGGCGAUUUACGGCUCGGACUUCCAGGAUCUGCGGCCGGAUGCGCGCGGACGGGUGAGAGAGCCUCCUGAAAUCAAUUUAGUUCUGUACCCUCAGGGCCUGGCUGGUGAGGAAGUGUACGUGCAGGUGGAGCUGAGGGUCAAAUGCCCACCGACAUACCCGGAUGUAGUUCCCGAAAUAGAGUUAAAAAACACUAAAGGUCUGUCGAAUGAGA
rnacentral:lncRNA from 1 species